rnacentral:sRNA from 1 species
UUUUUUUUGUCCAAAAU